rnacentral:rRNA from 1 species
ACGAACGCUGGCGGCUGCUUAAUACAUGCAAGUCGAACGGAGUGGCGAACGGGUGAGUAACGCGUGAGCAACCCGCCUAUGACAGUGGGAUAGCCUCGGGAAACCGGGAUUAAUACCGCAUAGUCAUAGAUGGGCUCGCGCCGGAUUAGCUAGUUGGUGAGAUAACAGCUCACCCAGGCGACGAUAAGUAGCCGGUCUGAGAGGAUGAACGACCACAUUGGAACGGGGACACGGUCCAAACUCCUACGGGAGGCAGCAGUGUGGAAUAUUGCACAAUGGAGGAAACCCUGAUGCGGCGACGACGCGUGAACGAAGAAGGUAUUCUUAUCGUAAAGUUCUGGCCUAUGGGAAGCAGUACCAUAGAAGAAAGCUCCGGCUAAAUACGUGCCAGCAGCCGCGGUAAUUC